rnacentral:rRNA from 1 species
UACGAAGGGUGCAAGCGUUAAUCGGAAUUACUGGGCGUAAAGGGUGCGUAGGCGGUUGUUUAAGUCUGUCGUGAAAUCCCCGGGCUCAACCUGGGAAUGGCGAUGGAUACUGGGCAGCUAGAGUGUGUCAGAGGAUGGUGGAAUUCCCGGUAUAGCGGUGAAAUGCGUAGAGAUCGGGAGGAACAUCAGUGGCGAAGGCGGCCAUCUGGGACAACACUGACGCUGAAGCACGAAAGCGUGGGGAGCGAACGGG